GACCUGGUGGUGUAAAGCAACACACCUGCUAUGCAUGGAAAGGAACGUGAAGAUAAUCGCAUAAUUGGCAGGAGAUCCCCCGUUCGAUUCGGGGUCAGGUCA